rnacentral:hammerhead_ribozyme from 1 species
AUCCAGAUGACGAGUCCCAAAUAGGAUGAAACAAGUGUCCUGGAC